rnacentral:lncRNA from 1 species
GGUCGCUUCUCGCAGGCGGCGCGCUUGCUGGGUCACAGUGAGGCGGCUCCGCGCAGGCGCAGCCGGGCGGGCGAGGAGCGGGGAAGCUGACUCAGGGCUGCGGCCGGGGUCCUGCGGGGUAGGAGCGCGAGGCCGGCCUGAGGGAGGAGGCCUAGCGACCCAUCCGGCGCCUCCCGCCCCGGGCACCCGCCCGCGGCCGCGCAUCCUGCGGGCCCCAGGAGGCCUCCAUCUCAAAACAACGUGUUUUUAGAGAACUCAAGGGCUGUGAAAAGAGCAGGACCUCACCAGCUGCACGGCGGUGGUGACUGGCUCCAUCUUGCUGUCCCUCCCAAUCACACAACAUCUCCCCUUGAAGGCUCUGCCCAGGCCCGGACUCCCACCUUUCAAGAUGUCUGGAUCAGUGCAGGACCUCCUCCUUGGCCACAUCGCUCUCCUUGGACUGGUUCAAGUGAUUCUCCCACCUCAGCCUCCCAAGUAGGAUUACAGGUACACACCACCACGCACAGCUAAUUGUUUUGUAUUUUAGGAAGAGAUGGGGUUUCAUCAUGUUAGCCAGGCUGGUCAGGUGAUCCAUCCGCCUUGGCCUCCCCAAGUGCUGGGAUUACAGGCGUGAGGCACUGUGCCCGGCCUGCCCCCCUUUUCUCUUGAUGUAAGUGGACAUUUUAAUCCAUAAUCUGUAACAUUUAUGUAUUAAGUUUACUACUAUCUUUGGUUUGCAGUGUUGACUCACCUGUGGAGUGGUCUGAGCCUGAAUGCCCGGGGCUGUGGCCACCGAGUGAACGGGCUGUGCUAAGGGGAAUUGCCACCUUGGGAAACCUGUGUAGUUGCGGCUUUUCUGAUUAAGUAUCAAUAAAAGUCUGACCUUGUGAAAAAAGCAAACGUGAGUGGCCCUGCUUAUGUUUCACCUUGCGUUGCUCAGUGAUAGUUCUGCAAAGUCGCAGGAAACCUGGAAUCAUCUAAUUAUCGUGAGUGUUGGCACAUGACAGCCUUCUUGCAAUCAAGAAACUACGUGUGGCCAGGAUCUCAUCCACUAUCACAGUUUCAGCUUUCCCCAAACUGGAAUGUGUCUUUGCAGACGCCCAUCCUUAUUAAAGGGCAAAGACUUCUCAUACACCUAGGAUGGAUCUUAUAUUCUUGGCGGGACUGCAGAGAAGGUGCCGUGUCCUGAGUCCUCAUGUCAGGGCACAGGCUUCCAGCCAGUUCUACCUGGGUUAUGUUUAUCUCAAUUCCCUGGUGGUAUUGGUGUCUGCUGGGUUUUGCCAGAAUGAAGACACCGUGUUUUCAUUUGUCAGUUGAUUCGUAUUUUCCAGGAAGACAUUCUGAGAUUACAGCAUUGUCUUAGUCAAGGUGCUGCAGAAGGACAGAACUAAUAGGAUAUAUGUACAUAUGAAAGAAAGUUUAUGAAGAACUGGCUCACACCAUCACAAGGCAAAGUCCCAUGACAGGCCAUCUGCAAGCUGAGGAGCGAGGAAGCCAGCAGUGGCUCAGCCGGAGUCCAACAGCCUCAAACGGAAUCCAACAGUUCAGGCUUCAGUCUGUGGCCAAAUGCCCAGAGACCCCGGAAAGCUACUGGUGUUAGUCCCAGAGCCGGAAGGCCAAAGAACCUGGAGUGUGAUGUCCAAGGGCAGGAGGAAUGGACAGAAGCAUCCAGCAUGGGGUAAAGACGAAAGCCAGAAGACUCAGCAAGCUAGCUUACCUACUUUCUUCUGCCUGCCUUGUUCUAGCCGCGCUGGCAGCCGGUUGGAGGGUGCCCACCCCCACUGAGGGUGGAUCUUCCUCUCCUAGUCCACUGACUCAAAUUUCAGUCUCUCUGGGAGCACCAUCACACCAGAAACAAUACCAGCCAUCUAGCCACCCUUCAGUUCACCAUCACAACCAUUGUCUUAUUCAUGAAACUUCUGCAGACCCACCUUAACCUCCAUCGGUGACUUCUACCUGAAGCCCUCUGAUUGUUGCCCAGUGGUGCUUUUUAAAAUAAUUUCCAUAGUUUCUUCUACACCUUUAGUUGGCAUUCUACUGUAAAGGAGAGAUUUUAUUUUCUUACUCAUUUAUUUGUUAGUUUAUAGUCACCACCAUAUGGAUGCAGAGUUCUGUCUCAUUCACUGGGAAGUAUUCUAUUGCAGUCAUGAUUUAUUUUGAUGUUCACAUCCCAGAGUUGGUGAGUGAGCGCCCCUUCACGCUGGCUCCCGAGUGCUGACGUGUCCCCGUCCUUCUCUGCACUUUUCCUUACCUCCUGGCCUCAGAUAUUCCAGGGUCAUUUGUUCUCUCCCUGCUCCAACCCUGCAGUCAGCCAUCUCCCUAGGGACGUUGGUUCCUUUAUGGAAGGUGGCAUUUAGAAGCCAGGAUUUGGGCUGAGCACUGUGGCUCAUGCUUGUAAUCCCAGCACUUGGGGAGGCCGAAGUGGGCGGAUCGCUGGAGGCCAAGAGUCUGAGACCAGCCUGGCUAACAUGGUGAAACCCUUCCCCGUCUCUACUACAAAUAAAAAAUUAGCUGGGUGUGUUGGCACGUGCCUGUAAUCCCAGUUACUCAGGAGGCUGAAGCACCAGAAUCUCUUGAACCCAGGAGGCCGAGGUUGCAGUGAGCCAAGAUUGCACCACUGCACUACAGCUUGGGUGACAGCGCGAGACACCGUCUCAAAAAGGAUAAUAAUUUAAAAAACAGCAGGAUUUGGGUGAGCAGUGCGCUCAUUGCUUCUGGGCUCUCUCGGUGGACAUAGGCUAGGAAUGUAAGAUGUAUGUGCCUGUGUAUAUACACACGUCUGUAGCUAUGUCUAUGUUGCAUACAUGUGUUUUUCCAAAAACCAAAUCCAUAACCAUGCCUUCAGUUUCAGCCCAACACCUCCGGGCUCUUUCUAGCUUUCUACCUUUCAUGAUUGUGAAUACCUUCUCCAGCAGUGAGAAACCUGGCUCCUUUGUCCUCAGUGGAUUUUCUUAUUUGCUCAAUUUUUUUGUUUUUUGUUUUGUUUUUGUUUUUGAGACAGAGUCUUGUUCUGUCACCCAAGCUGGAGUGCAGUGGCAUAAUCUCGGCUUACCGCAACCUCUGCCUCCUGG